UGACGGCUGUUCCUCUCUCUGCUCCAAGACAUGGGCUGUGGGAUUUUAGGCUGUCAAAGAGAAACUGACCUUUUUCACUCGGGGGCAUGCUCUGGCAACUGGCUGCCUGUCCUUGCCUUCUGAAUUUUGCGGGGUCAUACAAAU
ensembl:snoRNA SNORA79B small nucleolar RNA, H/ACA box 79B